UGUUAGCUUUUUCCACAGGAGAGUGCUCCUGCCGGCAAAGAGCUGUUCACACCGGUGCUUGUCAUCUGCAAAACUUUCGUCUUU